UUUUUCUUUUUUUUUUUUUUUUUGAGGCAGAGUCUCACUCUGAUGCCCAGGCUGGAGUGCAGUAGUGCAAUCUUGGCUCACUACAACCUCUGCCUCCUGGGUUCAAGCAAUUCUCCAGCCUCAGCCUCCCGAGUAGCUGGGAUUAUACGCUCCCGCUACCACACCCGGCUAAUUUUUUAUAUUUUUAAUAGAGACGGGGUUUCACUGUUAGCCAGGCUGGUCUCGAACUCCUGAUCUCAAGUGAUCUGCCUGCCUCAGCCUCCCAAAGUGCUGCGAUCACAGGUGUGAGCCACCGUGCCUGGCUUAGAAAUGGGGUUUCACCAUGUUGGCCAGGCUGGUCUCAAACUCCUGAUCUGAGGUCAUCUACCCACCUCAGCCUCCCAAAGUCCUGGGAUUACAGGCAUGAGCCACUGCGCCCGGCCUCUUGUGGUUUCUUCUUUGACUCAUUGGUUGUUUAAUAGUUUGCUGUUUAAUUUCCACAUGUGUGGGGAUUUUCCAUUUUCCUUCUGCUGCUGAUUUCUAGUUUCAUUCUAUUGUGGUUGGAAACGAUACUUUGUAUGAUUUCCGUCUUCUUAAAUUUGUUAAGACUUGUUCUGUGGCCUAACCUGUGAUUUAUUCUGGAGAGUGAUCUCUGCACUUGAGAAGAAUGUGUAUUCUGCUCUUGUUGGAUGGAGUGUUCUCUAUAUGUCUAUCAGGUCUAAUUGGUCUAUAAUGUUCAAGUCUUGUUUCCUCAUUGAUCUUCUGUCUGGAUGACUUAGUCUACUUUGUCUGACAGUAGAAUGGCCACCUCUGCUCUCUUUUGGUUACCAUUUGCAUGGGCUAUCUUUUUCCAUUUUUUCACUUUCAGCCUAUGUGCAUCCUAGAUCUAAAGUGUAAAAUUGUAUCUCUUAUGUGAAAGCAUAUAGUUGGAUCUUGCUUUUUUUUUUUUUUAAUUCAUUCAACCAAUCCGUGUCUUUUGAUUGGGGAGUUUAAUUCAUUUAUAUUUAAAUUAAUUACAGUUAAUAAAUGACUUACUAUUGCCAUUUUGUUGUUUUCUGUGUAUCUUGUAACUAUUUUUUCUCUUUCCUCUUGUACUGCCUUCCUUUGUGUUUCAUUAAUUUAUUUUUUUUUAUUUAUUUAUUUUUGAGAUGGAGUUUCGCUCUUGUUGCCCGAGCUGGAGUGCAGUGGCACGAUCUCGGCUCACUGCAACCUCCACCUCCUGGCUUCAAGUGAUUCUCCUGCCUCAGCCUCCAGAGUAGCUGGGAUUACAGGCAUGCACCACCAUGCCUGGUUAAUUUUUUGUUUUUAGUAGAGACGGGGUUUCACCAUGUUAGCUGAGCUGGUCUCAAACUCCUGACCUCAAGUGAUCUGACCACCUCAGCCCCCUAAAGUGCUGAGAUUACAGGUGUGAGCCACCUCGCUCAGCCUCAUUAAUUUUUGUAGUGACAUGCUUUGAUUCCCUCCUCUUUUCCUUGUGUGUAGCUUCUAUAAGUAUUUUCUUUGUAGUUACUAUGGGGAUUAUAUAAAACAUAUUAAAGUUACAAUAAUGUAUUUUAAACUGAUACAACUUAACUUCAAUCACUUACAAAAACUACUUUGUUACAUAUUUGUCUGCUGGUGAAUUUUUCAGUUCAGCUAUUUUUCUACUCCAGAUAGUG
ensembl:lncRNA